rnacentral:rRNA from 1 species
GAUGAACGCUGGCGGCGUGCCUAAUACAUGCAAGUCGAGCGAACAGACGAGGAGCUUGCUCCUCUGACGUUAGCGGCGGACGGGUGAGUAACACGUGGAUAACCUACCUAUAAGACUGGGAUAACUUCGGGAAACCGGAGCUAAUACCGGAUAAUAUAUUGAACCGCAUGGUUCAAUAGUGAAAGACGGUUUUGCUGUCACUUAUAGAUGGAUCCGCGCCGCAUUAGCUAGUUGGUAAGGUAACGGCUUACCAAGGCGACGAUGCGUAGCCGCCUGAGAGGGUGAUCGGCCACACUGGAACUGAGACACGGUCCAGACUCCUACGGGAGGCAGCAGUAGGGAAUCUUCCGCAAUGGGCGAAAGCCUGACGGAGCAACGCCGCGUGAGUGAUGAAGGUCUUCGGAUCGUAAAACUCUGUUAUUAGGGAAGAACAAAUGUGUAAGUAACUAUGCACGUCUUGACGGUACCUAAUCAGAAAGCCACGGCUAACUACGUG